rnacentral:rRNA from 1 species
UACGUAGGGUGCGAGCGUUGUCCGGAAUUAUUGGGCGUAAAGGGCUCGUAGGCGGUUUGUCGCGUCGGGAGUGAAAACACCGGGCUUAACUCGGUGCUUGCUUUCGAUACGGGCAGACUAGAGGUAUGCAGGGGAGAACGGAAUUCCUGGUGUAGCGGUGAAAUGCGCAGAUAUCAGGAGGAACACCGGUGGCGAAGGCGGUCUCUGGGCAUUACCUGACGCUGAGGAGCGAAAGUGUGGGGAGCGAACAGG